GAUUAACGUUGGCAGUGUGCCUAACACAUGCAAGUCGAACGGCAGCACGGGUGCUUGCACCUGGUGGCGAGUGGCGAACGAGUGAGUAAUACAUCGGAACGUACCUUAUCGUGGGGGAUAACGCAGCGAAAGUUGCGCUAAUACCGCAUACGCCCUGAGGGGGAAAGCGGGGGACCGUAAGGCCUCGCGCGAUUAGAGCGGCCGAUGUCUGAUUAGCUUGUUGGUGAGGUAAAAGCUCACCAAGGCGAUGAUCAGUAGCUGGUCUGAGAGGACGAUCAGCCACACUGGGACUGAGACACGGCCCAGACUCCUACGGGAGGCAGCAGUGGGGAAUUUUGGACAAUGGGGGCAACCCUGGUCCAGCAAUGCCGCGUGAGUGAAGAAGGCCUUCGGGUUGUAAAGCUCUUUUGUCAGGGAAGAAACAGCAGCUCUAACACAGCCUGCGAAUGACGGUACCUGAAGAAUAAGCACCGGCUAACUACGUGCCAGCCGCCGCGGUAA
rnacentral:rRNA from 1 species